UUAAUAAAAAAUUAAUUAAUUAGUUAAUUUUCCGAAAUCAUGGAUACCUAGAAUAGAAUUAAUAAAAAACAUCAUAGGUAACUUGUAAAAUUUUGGUUGCGCCUUCAAUUUUUAAUUUUGUGUUAUGAAUAUCUGAACAGUAACCAAGGUAAUCAGUUAAUAAAUUUACAAACCAUUUUACAUUUACACACUACCAUAAAAUUGGUCUUAUACAUUGAAUCAAAAUGAAAUUUAUUAGAAUUGCAUGUAUUAUAAUGAUUUUACUUGUUGGGUAUGCGGCAGCAGAAGAAGCAGCUGCCGCCGCUGCCGCCGCCGCCGCCGCCGCUCCUGACGCCGCCGACGCCGCUGCUGGCGCCCAGGAAGAAGAAACUACUACGGGUUCUACUACGGUUAGCAGUACCACUUACCUUAAGCCGUGGCCAGCUCUAUUGUCAUUGCCUCUUUGCUGGGUAAUUUAUCUAUUCUCAUUGCAUUAAUAUGACAUUGUCUACAAAUGUAUUUUGAAUAAACAUUUACAGGGGAAA